AGCGGCAAAAGCUCAAAUUUGAAAUCUGGCACUUUCAGUGUCCGAGUUGUAAUUUGAAGAAGGUAUCUUUGGGUCUGGCUCUUGUCUAUGUUUCUUGGAACAGAACGUCACAGAGGGUGAGAAUCCCGUGCGAUGAGAUGUCCCAGACCUAUGUAAAGUUCCUUCGAAGAGUCGAGUUGUUUGGGAAUGCAGCUCUAAGUGGGUGGUAAAUUCCAUCUAAAGCUAAAUAUUGGCGAGAGACCGAUAGCGAACAAGUACAGUGAUGGAAAGAUGAAAAGAACUUUGAAAAGAGAGUGAAAAAGUACGUGAAAUUGUUGAAAGGGAAGGGCUUGAGAUCAGACUUGGUAUUUUGUAUGUUACUCUCUCGGGGGUGGCCUCUACAGUUUACCGGGCCAGCAUCAGUUUGAGCGGUAGGAUAAGUGCAAAGAAAUGUGGCACUGCUUCGGUAGUGUGUUAUAGUCUUUGUCGAUACUGCCAGCUUAGACUGAGGACUGCGGCUUCGGCCUAGGAUGUUGGCAUAAUGAUCUUAAGUCGCCCGUCUUGA
rnacentral:rRNA from 1 species